rnacentral:rRNA from 1 species
UCCCUACGGGGCGCAGCAGUGGGGAAUAUUGCACAAUGGGGGAAACCCUGAUGCAGCGACGCCGCGUGAGCGAUGAAGUAUUUCGGUAUGUAAAGCUCUAUCAGCAGGGAAGAAAAUGACGGUACCUGACUAAGAAGCCCUGGCUAACUACGUGCCAGCAGCCGCGGUAAUACGUAGGUGGCAAGCGUUGUCCGGAUUUACUGGGUGUAAAGGGCGUGUAGCCGGGUUGACAAGUCAGAUGUGAAAUCCUGCGGCUUAACCGCAGAACUGCAUUUGAAACUGUUGAUCUUGAGUACUGGAGAGGC